GACGAACGCUGGCGGCGUGCUUAACACAUGCAAGUCGAGCGGUAAGGCCCUUUCGGGGGGUACACGAGCGGCGAACGGGUGAGUAACACGUGGGUGACCUGCCCUCAGCUCUGGGAUAAGCCUGGGAAACCGGGUCUAAUACUGGAUAUGACUCCAUGACGCAUGUUGGUGGGGUGGAAAGCCUUGUGCGGCUGAGGAUGGGCCCGCGGCCUAUCAGCUUGUUGGUGGGGCGANGGCCUACCAAGGCGACGACGGGUAGCCGGCCUGAGAGGGCGACCGGCCACACUGGGACUGAGAC
rnacentral:rRNA from 1 species